GCCCUGCUAGCUCAGUGGUAGAGCGUAUCUCUCCUACUAAUACGUCUUGUAGGAUUCAAGAUGAAGUCGUGGGUUCGACCCCCACGUGGGGCU